UGGACCGAGUGAAAAUUAGAGGGACCAAAUUGCAACACAAUGCGAUGUACCCGGAUCCGGCAGUACAGAAAAAUUUUGGGGCAAUACACCAUUUUUCUAUCUAAUCGAACCACUGGAAACUGAACCCAUUGCUUUUCCGUCAAUCAAAACUCAAACAACUCGGCAACUUCACCAUAUCCUGCCCCAUCAGAGGAAUGUGAUGAUGAACCACUGAUUUGUUUAUACCGAUUAAGCAUGUUAGUGGUAGACUGUCUGAUUUUCACUUCUGGAGGCCUGCCCGGAUGUGGUCUAGUUUCCUGCACUAGUAAUUUUGGUGGGAGGAGAAGAUUCAUUUCAAGAGUAUCUCCAGGAUUAUUCAGGAUUCGAGCAGUGCAAGACAAUGAAGGGCCAAGAAGGCUGGUUGACAUCAUUAGAGUUCUACCAGAAGUAUCUAGGAAUUACUUCAGAAGCCCUUCUAGGAGAGCACUUUUUGGAGGUAUAUCUUUAUUGGGUGGUUUUUAUGUUGCACAGACAAUUUCCCUCUCUUUUGGAGCUUUAGGAGUUAAUGAUGUAAUUGCUGCUGUGGUAUGUGUUCUGCUCACAGAGUAUGUCACUAAAUUUUAUUACAGCCGACCUAAGGUGACAUUCCCUAUUGCACUUCUGAACAAUUUCAAGAUGGGAUUCACAUAUGGGCUCUUCAUUGAUGCUUUUAAACUUGCCAGUUAGAUCUCUGUUCAAUUGAAACUCAUUAUGUCACAAACAUUACCACUUGUAUGAAGCAUAUCAUUUAUUGCAGUUGCCUUCUUGAAUGUCUUCCAUUAA